UCAGUUCGGAUUGUAGUCUGCAACUCGACUACAUGAAGCUGGAAUCGCUAGUAAUCGCAGAUCAGAAUGCUGCGGUGAAUACGUUCCCGGGUCUUGUACACACCGCCCGUCACACCAUGGGAGUCGGAAAUGCCCGAAGCCGGUGACCCAACCAAAAGGAGGGAGCCGUCGAAGGCAGGUCUGAUAACUGGGGUGAAGUCGUAACAAGGUAAC
rnacentral:rRNA from 1 species